rnacentral:tRNA from 3 species
GCCGCUGUGGCGGAAUUGGUAGACGCGCUGGAUUCAAAAUCCUGUGGCCGUGAGGUCGUGUGGGUUCGAUUCCCACCGGCGGUA